rnacentral:lncRNA from 1 species
AAUCGUUUACUUGAUGCAUAUAAUACUUUAAAGAAAUCAGUGCAAGCCCCCAAAGGAAAAAACCAACAGCCAAUAUAUACAAUUUCCCAAUUAUCUUCCUGGAAAAAUUACAAAUCAUCAUAUUCUUUUUCAAGAAUGAAAAAGAGGCUCCACAUUCCUAGUAGAAAGAAAAAAAUAAACAGUAAAGUUAUUUUUUUUCAUAUAUUUGAGUAGAAAAGCAUUGGAAAACAUUUCACCUUGACUGGUUACAAAAUCAAAGAUGUCUUCAAGUUUAAAGCAUACAUGUGCUAUCAGCACAUGUACAAUUACUGAAAACCUUAAUCAACAGAGAAGCUAUCUGAAAAAAAUUAACCUUGAAAUAACCACUGGAAAUAUGAUGAGAUGAACAAUUCAUGAAUGAGAAUUAUUCUCUACAGUGAACUUGAUUAUGGAGAAUAUAGUCUGAAGUCAUGACAAAUCCUUAACAGAUA